GACUCCGUUCCCCUCGAUAUAUUGGCCUGCGCGAGAACUUACAGAAGAACUCGGCCACGAUUUCGGCGCUCCCGCGCAGGGUGAUUCCCUGCUCCCGGGAGAGCUGCAGCGCCAUGGCCAGGGACACAAACAAAGGCACGCGCUUUCACUACACGGACAGCAACCACAGCGGCUCCAACAGCACUUCCCCGCCAAGCGUUUCAAAAGUAACGACGCAGCACGUCGUCAGGCCCUUUGCGCAGGCGCGACGAGCCUUUAAGCCCAGCCCCACGGAGCGGAGACCUGCCCUUUCUCUCAGCCUUCCUGCGAUGUCGCGGGAGCGGCCGGUUCGCGCAGGCGCAGUUGGUGGACCUGGUCGCGCUGUGCCGGGUGUGACACUACGGUAGGUGUAGGUUAGGGUAUGUCUUCUGGUCGUGGUCUAUUAGUUGGGGCCGAGGGAAGAAGAUGACGAUUCCAAUUUCAGUAGCCACUCUCUAGGCUUAUGAACUGAAAGACCAAGGAGCACAAUUUCCGAGUUUCAAAGAUACUUUCAAACUGAAAGGAACUGUUCGCCAGCUGCUCGCGAAGUGGCCCAUGUGACCCCUAGUGAACGGUCUAAACUUCCGCUAGAUGCUUUGGGAAUUCGUAAAGCGACUGCGUGCGCGGCAGCCAAGCCACAGCUUUACAGGGUUCGCCUUCUGUGUGGGAACGCGGCUUUUCCCGAGAAAUUGGGUUAGGGAUUAAAGAGAAGAACUGCAUCCUUUUUACUGCCCUUUUUCCACGUCUGUCCUGGGCUUAGGGCACUCCUCAGAGGCCAGAGGGGUAGGCGAGUCCGGGGCGGUAAGGGGCUGCGUCCGGAAGUCCAGGCUGCGUUCUGUCCACCCUGCCCACCCUUAGGGGGCAGUUCAGGAAUAAGGUCACCUCACCAAAGAGGCCCAUCAACAUUGAAGAAUAUUUCAGUGAAUCUUGACUCACCAAGCUCAAUGACUUUUCAUUGAAAAGGAGAGCAGAUUACAUUAUCAAAAGCACCAAGUUGAAACAUUUGCAAGAUACUGAGCAAUCUUGUGGAGGACAUCAUGCUAACCGUGGAGGUGGUAUUCAGUUGAUAGCCAUGAGGCUGUUUGGCUGCUGACAGCAGUGCCCAUCCUGAUUGAUUGGUGCCCACACCCAGCUGUGCAUCAUUUCACAAUUAUUGGCAAUGGUUCAAUGGUUUCAUCUGCUUUGAACGGUUUCUUCUCUAUCAUUAAGAGUAUCAACCUAUGGGAUUGCAAGCAUCUUGAAGUUGGCUUCUGAAUCGUCUUCAUUUUUGUGUACCCAGAAUGCUCAGUGCAAAUUUUGUUGAAUGUUGAAUGUAGUUUUAAACUGUAUUUGUGAUGGCAAAUAGUCCUAAAAGACUUUUCAUUAAGUUUCCUGGGAUGACCAACGGAAACAAGUCUGAACCUAUGUUUCUGAGUACAUUGAAAAGAAUAGCAAGUGUUUCAUAAAAGUUAAGUUUUAAGGAACAAGGGCUAUGCUUGGUUGGACUUUUCACAUGUGAAACUGCGUUCACAAGUCUUUAAUUUUAUCUGUGUCCAGCAGAUGGCACUAGUGCCUCAAAUAAAACUCCAGUUUGAAGAAAAUGUAAGGUAAUGCAUACCUUAAAACUAAGCAGAUGUCAUGAAAAUCCAAGAGAAUAUCACACAAAUAUUCAGAUCUGUAUAGUUAAAUGAAACAUGAAAUUGUUGAAUAAGUAUUUGUCUUUUAAAAAAUUCUCUGAAUUUUAUGUUUAACUAUGGAGGCAAGAAAAAAGUAGGACAAAAUUUU
rnacentral:lncRNA from 1 species